rnacentral:rRNA from 1 species
UGGGGAAUAUUGGACAAUGGGCGCAAGCCUGAUCCAGCCAUGCCGCGUGUGUGAAGAAGGCCUUCGGGUUGUAAAGCACUUUCAGUGGGGAGGAAGGGGUUGUAGUUAAUAGCUGCAAUUUUUGACGUUACCCACAGAAGAAGCACCGGCUAACUCCGUGCCAGCAGCCGCGGUAAUACGGAGGGUGCAAGCGUUAAUCGGAAUUACUGGGCGUAAAGCGCACGCAGGCGGCUUUUUAAGUCGGAUGUGAAAGCCCCGGGCUCAACCUGGGAAUUGCAUCUGAUACUGGGAAGCUAGAGUAUGUGAGAGGGGGGUAGAAUUCCAAGUGUAGCGGUGAAAUGCGUAGAGAUUUGGAGGAAUACCAGUGGCGAAGGCGGCCCCCUGGCACAAUACUGACGCU